GAUGCAGCUCAGAGUCUGCAUUGCUAUGGCUGUGGUGUAGGCUGGUAGGUGCAGCUCUGAUUCAACCCCUAGCCUGGGAACUUCCACAUGCUGCAGGUGCAGCCCUAAAAAGACCUCUCCCCCACCAAAAAAAAAAUUAGUGGGUAUGUUUGGGUGGCUUUAAAAUAAAAUAAAAAUUAUAAUAAAAAUAAAACUUAUGUGGUGUGCCUAAAUUUUACUUUAUAGGGUCCUGGGACCCCCAAAGUGAUUGGGAAUCACACCUCAGAGAAGCAGCACCUCAGAUAUUACAGGAAGCCCAAAUGGCUUUUGGUCAGGAGUACUCUAUGUAUAAGCUGCUGUAAACAGAGAAAGCAAGCAAUGGUUUCAAAUCAAAAUUCACCUUGAACUACAGGUAUUGAUCUGCAGUUGAGCUGCUUUUCUCACAAGCACACACCUAGGUAUAGGGCAGCUGGAGAUGAACAAUUAAAUAAGAUUCUUAUUUAAUUCUUAGGAUUCUCCAGCACAUUACUGUAUUGACUGGAAUUUACUUUCUGUAUAUAUGAUGUGUGUAUAUUUUUUGGUGCAUGUGUAUGUAUAGAUAUUUCAAAUUAAAAAAAGAAUUAAACAGAAGUUCUUUUUUGUUUAUUUACAAAAAUGUUUAGCUGAGCUUGACAAAAUGUCUGCGGAUGCAGCAGAUGUGGUAAAAUUGUCCUACUCUGGUAAAAUCCAGCCUCUAGAUGGGAUUGAUUAGUUUAGUCCAUCAGUAUUGGCCCAUGUGGUGUUAAAAAAAAAUUGAGCAACAUUUAGGAGUAGGAAGGUAGCAUUAUAAAUAUCUGGGUUUCUUGACAGUAGGAAUGCCUAGCUAUACAACCAGUGUUCUCACACGGUGAUAAUGCUGUCCCCACUAGAUGGGGCUUGUACUCUCCAGUCCCACAGUCCUCAUCAGCCCCUACUUGUACCUGACAGGGAAUGUCAGUUGCCGCUGUGAACUGAAGUUUGGCACCUGCUGUCUGCCUCUACAUGGAGCAAAACACGAGCUACUGCAGCUGCAGACCUGCAGCAGCCCCAGAGCAGAGCUCAGGGUGGAGACCAGGAGUGAGGCACUCUGUUCUGGGAAAACUGGAAGAAGAGUCUUCAGAUAAUUAGAUAUUUUUAGGAAAAGACUUUACGUGCCCAAUUCUUGCAUCUCCUCAUAUCUAGAGAAAUACUAAAAUCCUUCAGUGAUGUCUGAUGUCUGUGACUAGUAGCAACCUUCAUGAGACCAGCAGCAAACUUCUGUGAAAUGUGUGCAUGGCUGCGUGCACCUGCCCCUUCACCUUUAUGACUUGUAUCUUGAUGUGUCCCCCUUUCCUCCUGGGCUGUAGUUAGUGGACAAAAGAUGUCAGGGUCAUCUGUGAGAACAGCCACUCUCAAGGGUGGACCAAUGAGCCCUGAGGGAACUCAGGAAAGAAACCAAGAAGACUGGCCCACAGCUGGGGUGCAGAUCAAAGGAGUGAUUCCAGGAAGCCCAGACUUGACAUCUUCCUAUAGAAAACUGGUUUUCUGUAAAUCUGGUUUUCUAUAAGUCUCUUGUUCCUAUUACCUUCCCUCUGUUGCAAAACUCAUAUCCUCUAGCUUCCCCCCUCACCUCCAAUGAGUGGUUUCUUGGGGCUACCUGAGAUGCCGUCUCUAGGGCUUAAGUCCUAAUUUCACCCUAAGUAAAACUGAACUCUCAACUUUCAGGUUGUAAAAUUUUUUUUGCCUUUUCUAGGGCCGUACCCAUGGCAUAUGGAGGUUGCCAGGCUAGGGGUCUAAUUGGAGCUGUAGCUGCCAACCUACGCCACAGCCUCAGCAAGGCAGGAUCCGAGCUUCGUCUGCAACUUAUACCAUAGCUCACGGCAAUGCUUGAUCCUUAACCCACUGAGCGGGGCCAGGGAUCGAACCCACAACCUCAUGGUUCCUAGUUGGAUAUGUUAACCACUGCACCAUGACGGGAACUCCUCAGGUUGUAAUUUUUUAAGUCGAUAUUGUUUAUCCUCACAGUUGUCCUGUUUUUUGUUGUUGUUGUUGUUGUUUUUUCCUUACAGUAGCAUUAAGUAGCAGCAGCUCUAAUUCUAUCAAAAAUGGAAAAAGACCAAGGGAGUUGCAUAUCUUGAUAAAUCAAAGAGGGCAUCUAUUUCCAUGCAGAAAUUGAGGCUGUUCUGUUUUUAACAUGCAGGGUUUUCUUAGACCCACAUGGCAUGAUGUAUUGUCUUGGCCUCUGGGAUUCCUGCUGGCUUGUGAACCCCUGGGUCACCUGGGCUCCAGAAUUGAUCCUCUGUUUGGCUCCAUGACAAUAAUGAGUGUCAACAUGUAAUAACCCACUGAAACACUCAAGGCAUGGAAGGUGGGUGAACAGUACAAACUUUAGCCAUAUUCUCUUUAGUUUUGCUUUCUCACCCUAGGGUCUUAGAUUUGGCCCUCCUUUCUCACAAAACUUGCAAGCCAGUCGCACUAACUCCACUUCACACAAACAUAAUUGUCUUCACUGGUACCUUUCCCUUUCCAAUCUCCCUUGAAAUAAUUGGGUUAUUGCACUAGAAGUGAUCAUGGCCAUGAGGGACUUCAAAGCUAAUAGAGACGUGUAGCACAGAAGAUUCAGCACUCCCUUAGGAAAUUAUCGUGGAAUACAGUUGAAAGAGGAAGAUAUUAAAACCAAGAUUAUGUUGAAGGAGAUUGAAAAGGAAACACUGUAUUUGGGGAGGAGGGUAGAGAGGUUGGUUGGAGGGAUUUCUUGAUUUUAGAAUUCAUUCUAUUAAAAUGUAUUGGCAGUUUAGAAGAGGCUCUACUUUUAGCUUUUGAGUAUAAGAUUGGAAGGAGAAAUGAAUAUUUCAAACUUUCAUAUGGGCAGAAAUAGCACUACAGAUCACUCAUUUCUGAGGAAUGAGGGGAAAGAAGACAAUAUUUUCUUGAAGGGGUGCAAGGAGUUCAGGAAAAGAGGCACAUCUUUCAGACAAUGACUCUAAUCUAUUUAAAUUCAGGGUGUGGAGAAGCAUGAAGACAUAAAAGUGCUAGGGAGUCACUCUGAUCAUGUUCUUUCUUUCAUGUACGAGAUUCUUUACACAGUGAUAACCUUCCAUAACCAAUGAAAUAAACAAAAAAGAUUGACUUCUAAGGUGUACCCUCAAACAACCUUAUUGGCAAGUCCACCUGCAGGUCCUGUGUCAGAUCUGCUUUGUGGAGCUCCUUUUCCUGAUUCCCAGAUGAGAUCUAGGGCAGGCCCCAGACUGCCUUGGUCACCAUCAUAUAAGGAAAAAUAUGGUCACCUGAGGUCAAAAACUCAGUCUCAUCUCAGUAAUUACGAUAUUUGGUCCCAUGAAACUUCCAAAUACACUUAGAAUUACAAGUUCUUUCCUCCUUUAAGUCAGGCCUGACCCAGGAAAAGGAGGCCUGAAUGGAUUCUUCAAGAUUUCCCUAUAUAGCACUUAUAACAACAGCUUCAUUUUUCAACGUGCUGACAAUAAUUUCUAAUCAUUCCAGGAAGCAGGGUAGAGGUAAGACAUCAAGAGAGGUCUUAUCUGACAGGUACAGACACGGCUGUUAUGAGGGCUAGGAUUAGGACAUAGAGUUUAAGAGGCCCCUCAAAUUAGCAACAAAGAUAAAUAUUAUUUUAAUCCAACAUUUUAAAAAACCUAAAAUCAAUGCAAAAAUUCCUAACAAAUAAAAUGCCAAAAUUUUAAAUAAAGACAGGAUAAGCUGAAAUUAAUUUAAAAAUUACUUCAGGAGUUCCCUUCAUGGCUCAGUGGUUAAUGAACCUGACUGGUAUCCAUGAAGAUAUGGAUUUGAUCCCUGGCCUUGCUCAGUGGGUUAAGGAUCUGGCAUUGCCGUGAGCUGUGGGGUAGGUUGCAGACAUGGCUCAGAUCCUGCACUGCUGUGGCUGCAGCAUAGGCCAGCAACUGUAGCUCUGAUUUGACUCUCAGCCUGGGAUCUUGCAUAUGCUGCAGAUGUGGGCCUAAUAAGCGAAAAAAAAAAUUACUUCAAAUGGUCACUUACACAAGAGAAAUUGUCAAACACAGAAAUUCUCUCAAAUUAAAAAUGAAACAAGUAAAAAAGUUGAUUUUGAAAAGAGUAUUGAUUGAGGUGGGAUCAAGACGGCAGAGGAGGAAGAUGUGGUGAUCAUCUUCUCCUACAAAUACAUCCAAAAAACCAUCUACCUAUAGAAUGGUUCACACAGAACAUCUACUGAAUGCUGAAAGAAGACCAUAAACUUCCAAAAAAGGCAAGAAACCCUCCACAUAA
rnacentral:lncRNA from 1 species